rnacentral:rRNA from 1 species
UUUGGACAAUGGGGGCAACCCUGAUCCAGCCAUCCCGCGUGUGCGAUGAAGGCCUUCNNNUUGUANAGCACUUUUGGCAGGGANGACNAGGCUCUGGCUAAUACCUGGAGCUGCUGACGGUACCUGCAGAAUAAGCACCGGCUAACUACGUUCCAGCAGCCGCGGUAAUACGUAGGGUGCAAGCGUUAAUCGGAAUUACUGGGCGUAAAGCGUGCGCAGGCGGUUCGGCAAGAAGGAUGUGAAAUCCCAGGGCUUAACCUUGGAACUGCAUUCUUAACUGCCGGGCUAGAGUAUGUCAGAGGGGGGUAGAAUUCCGCGUGUAGCAGUGAAAUGCGUAGAGAUGCGGAGGAAUACCGAUGGCGAAGGCAGCCCCCUGGGAUAAUACUGACGCUCAUGCACGAGAGCGUGGGGAGCAAAC